UACGUAGGUGACCAGCGUUGUCCGGAUUUACUGGGCGUAAAGGGAGCGUAGGCGGAUUGGUAAGUCAGUGGUGAAAUCUGUGGGCUUAACCCACAAACUGCCAUUGAUACUGCUGAUCUAGAGUACAGUUGCCGUUGGCGGAAUAUGACAUGUAGUGGUGAAAUACUUAGAUAUGUCAUAGAACACCGAUUGCGAAGGCAGCUAACGAAGCUGUAACUGACGCUGAGGCUCGAAAGUGCGGGGAUCAAACAGG
rnacentral:rRNA from 1 species